rnacentral:lncRNA from 1 species
UCCAUCUUCUUUUAAAAUCCAAAAUUGAAAUUCCCAAUUUUCAUUAAACCCUAAAUUAACAUAAAAUAGAGUUUGAUCUUUGUAUCUUUCACCAUAAAUAGUGAAAUCGACUGAUGCAGUUGGGGAUCUAAUGGAAAGAUGUGAGCUUGUCUAGAUUAGGUUUGUUACGGCCACUUAUGCCAGCUUGGGGGUUGUUCUGAUGCGCCUCGAGGUCGUCAAUUGUUUCC